rnacentral:rRNA from 1 species
UACGUAGGGUGCAAGCGUUAUCCGGAUUCACUGGGGUUAAAGGGUGCGUAGGUGGGCCGGUAAGUCAGUGGUGAAAUCUCCGGGCUUAACCCGGAAACUGCCGUUGAUACUAUUUGUCUUGAAUAUUGUGGAGGUAAGCGGAAUAUGUCAUGUAGCGGUGAAAUGCUUAGAGAUCGGAAAGAACACCAACGGCGAAAGCACUCUGCUGGGCCGACACUGACACUGAGAGACGAAAGCUAGGGGAGCGAAUGGG